UACGGGGGGUGCAAGCGUUGUUCGGAAUUACUGGGCGUAAAGGGUUUGUAGGUGGCCAACUAAGUCAGCUGUGAAAUCCCUCAGCUUAACUGGGGAUCUGCGUCUGAGACUGGAUGGCUUGAGUGCAGGAGAGGAACGCGGAAUUCCAGGUGUAGCGGUGAAAUGCGUAGAUAUCUGGAGGAACACCGGUGGCGAAGGCGGCGUUCUGGACUGCUACUGACACUGAGGAACGAAAGCCAGGGGAGCAAACGGG
rnacentral:rRNA from 1 species